rnacentral:misc_RNA from 1 species
GUGAAUCAUCAAAUUUUUGAACGCAUAUUGCACUCUCUGGUAUUCCGGAGAGUAUGCCUAUUUGAGGAUCAUUUAAAAUAAUAUAAAUUCCAAGAUUUCUCGGAAUUUAAACUGGGUUGUCCAUUUUGUGUGGUCGCCUAAAAUCCAAGACAAGCUCAUUUUCUUGGGUUCCGUGAUACUUUCAGUGACCGCAUGACUUAACCAAGAAUCAUCGGGCGUGUUAUGGAUUUUUCAGGAGAUAAACAAUUCCUUAGAUAUAU